UACGUAGGGUGCGAGCGUUGUCCGGAAUUAUUGGGCGUAAAGGGCUCGUAGGCGGUUUGUCGCGUCGGGAGUGAAAACCUCGGGCUUAACUCGGGGCUUGCUUUCGAUACGGGCAGACUGGAGGUAUGCAGGGGAGAACGGAAUUCCUGGUGUAGCGGUGAAAUGCGCAGAUAUCAGGAGGAACACCGGUGGCGAAGGCGGUUCUCUGGGCAUGACCUGACGCUGGAGGCGCGAAAGCUAGGGGAGCAAACAGG
rnacentral:rRNA from 1 species